rnacentral:rRNA from 1 species
AUUGAACGCUGGCGGCAGGCCUAACACAUGCAAGUCGAGCGGAGCGGCGGCCGGGGGCGUAAGGCCUAGGAAUCUGCCUGGUAGUGGGGGAUAACGUCCGGAUACGGGCGCUAAUACCGCAUACUAUCAGAUGAGCCUAGGGCGGAUUAGCUCGUUGGUGGGGUAAGUGCCUGCCAAGGCGACGAUCCGUAACUGGGCUGAGAGGAGGAUCAGUCACACUGGAACUGAGAUGCGGUCCAGACUCCUACGGGAGGCAGCGGUGGGGAAUAUUGGACAAUGGGCGAAAGCCUGAUCCAGCCAUGCCGCGUGUGUGAAGAAGGUCUUCGGAUUGUAAAGCACUUUAAGUUGGGAGGCGUUACCAUCAGAAUAAGCACCGGCUAACUCCGUGCCAGCCGCCGCGGUAAUUC